rnacentral:tRNA from 1 species
ACUCCCUUAGUAUACUAGUAUAGCUGACUUCCAAUUAGCAGGCCCCAAAAACUUUGGGAUGGAGUA